rnacentral:tRNA from 1 species
GGCCUGCUAGCUCAGUCGGUUAGAGCGUCGUGCUAAUAACGCGAAGGUCACAGGUUCGAUCCCUGUGCCGGCCA